UAACCACUAGGCUACCCUCACGCCCCAUAUAAGAAUUUCAGCUAGUGAAUGCCAUCAAUAAAACAUAACAUUCAUUUCAAACAUACAAAACCAAAACAUUUCAUUCAAACAUACAAAACCAAAACAUUUCAUUCAAACAUCACUCCGCUUUACACACAUAAAUAACAACAUGAAACAGUUUUGUAAUAAUAUAUCUAUAUGGUUUAAUAUUGAAUUAGUCUCCUGUGUUACACAUGAUAAACACGAACCGAUAGGAUACAUGUAAUGUUAAUAGCACCUCUAGACACUAUAGUGCUCAUUGUUUAAGUACGGUGUUUAUAUAGCUAGCCCAUACAACUACUGUAUAGUCAUGGUCUAUGUAGACCAGUCUACUAAGACAUUGGGUUUACACUGUAAUGUAUAGAAUCAACGAAUGGUAGACACAAUAUGACUGGUUUUAAUGCAGCAGUAGGAAGCGGUAGUUAGGUACAUGAAAACCUUUAAAGUGUUCGAGGAGAGAGAUGCUUUUCCAACUUUGAUUCGGGUAUUACAUUGUUGAUUUCUAUUAUGGUAAAUGUAGGCCUUUCUUUUCCUUGGAACUGGACGUUUACUAGACCCACUAACCCAACCUCACAUGUGCAGAACUACCAACCUCUCUUAAUUUGAAACAUUAGAUUUAACACUAGAACAGACCAUAAGGAAACAAUGACCCUCCAUUGUGAAAACAUUAACUCUGUCUCCAUAAGCCUUAAUAUACACACGGUCUUCUCACCAGCCAGAAGGAACAUAGAAAAGUCAAUUCCUCAGAGGUCGAAAUUCAAACCACUUUUCUUCCAGCUGAAGGCCACAGAAUCAACCCUACUGGACUACAGGCUCUAUCUUUUAGCUUAUCCCAAGAACUACAAAUCCCAACAGGCUUUACAAAAAACACUCAACGUCCCGGCCCUAACCUAGCUGGCCGGCGGGACCUGCCUGGUUUCACUUUUUGACAAACAUUUUUUAUUUUUUAUAAUGAACGCAAAACGCAAACAAUCACACUUCUGAGAACCAACUCAUCAGCUCCAACAUACCCUGGUUUAAGGACAUGUUAACUAAACAGGGACCUUUUAAAUGUCCCUUCUCUUUCCUUCGAGUGUAACAUAUCCAUUAUCAUGUUAGACAUGAUCACACAGAUUCAAAGCAUUUGAUCAAUUAACAGGGUUGGCCAGUAAGUGCUUUUUCAUGAAAAACAUAAACAUACUCACACAAUUAAAUACCAAGUUCCAUAACCCACAAUCCUUCAGAUCUGAUACUAUGGAUGCUUAUCUCUCUCUAAUAGCAACACAGCACUGAAAACUCUUUAAGAUACAGUAAAUAUAUUGAUUGUGAGCCAAUCAAGCACCGAUCCAUCACCAAGCAUCUUAGAGUGCAAAGACUAUAAAGAGAUGGCUGUAAAGUAAUGCUCUCUGUCUAAUAGUACCUAUUCAAUACUACUUUCUCUUGUUACUCAUUUGGCUAUUGAUGUACAUUUCCACAUCAUUCUGAUGUGGGGUUGCAACAUUCCAGGAAGGUUGUAUACAUUCUAGAACUCCUGGUUGGAGGAUCCUGGAAGGUUGCAACCACAUUCUGACCCAAAGUGCUAUACCAGUAGUACCACCACUACCAUUCCUCCUUAACCAAUACCCACCAACCAGCCCUAACUAACGCAAUACCCACUACCAUUCCUCCUUAACCAAUACCCACCAACCAGCCCUAACUAACGCAAUACCCACUACCAUUCCUCCUUAACCAAUACCCACCAACCAGCCCUAAUUAACCCAAUACCCACCAACCAGCCCUAACUAACCCAAUACCCACUACCAUUCCUCCUUAACCAAUACCCACCAACCAGCCCUAAUUAACCCAAUACCCACCAACCAGCCCUAACUAACGCAAUACCCACCAACCAGCCCUAACUAACCCAAUACCCACUACCAUUCCUCCUUAACCAAUUAACCCGAUACCCACCAACCAGCCCUAAUUAACCCAAUACCCACCAACCAGCCCUAACUAACGCAAUACCCACCAACCAGCCCAAACUAACGCAAUACCCACCAACCAGCCCUAACUAACGCAAUACCCACCAACCAGCCCUAAUUAACCCGAUACCCACCAACCAGCCCUAAUUAACCCGAUACCCACCAAACAGCCCUAAUUAAGUCAAUACCCACCAACCAGCCCUAACUAGCCCAAUAUCCACCAACCAGCCCUAACUAACCCAAUACCCACCAACCAGCCCUAACUAACCCAAUAUCCACCAACCAGCCCUAAUUAACCCAAUACCCACCAACCAACCCUAACUAACACAAUAUCCACCAACCAACCCUAAUUAACCCAAUAUCCACCAACCAACCCUAAUUAACCCAAUACCCACCAACCAGCCCUAACUAACCCAAUACCCACCAACCAGCCCUAAUUAAC
ensembl:lncRNA